AUUAUUUUGACAGAGAAGUGUAAUGAAUUUAGAAUUCAUUUAUGUAAAUAGAUUUUUACAAAUAAUA
rnacentral:tRNA from 1 species